ACCAGGCAUGUGUAGCCCCAUCAUUUAGGUCUGCAAGGAGUUUGUUCUCCAGUUUAACCUCUGAGUGGGUCCUGGUUUUAUGUGAGUUCUAUGAUACAAUGUACCACGUGCAGGCCCCAGACUUUGUCUUCCAUCUCCUUCAUAAUGUAAUGUAGUCCAUGAGAAAGUGAUGUAGAUCACCAACACAAAUGAACACAUGCUUAUUCUGGUGGAUUUUCACUUUCCUGUCAUUUCUGGACUUCAGGGAAUUCCUUACUCUCUUUUAAAUGUGGCUGUGCAUUUAAAAAAUAUGUUUUGCAGAUUAUAUAGCAUUUUUCAUUGUGAUACACAGGCUUUUUGUUCUGUGUAUAUCUGAUCUACCAUAAUGCUUGUAAGGAAACACAUUUAAUCUUCUGUGAGGUAUAAUUUAUUAUUCCCAGGUUUUAUGUAGGAAUAUCUUAGGGUCACAGAGGUUAGGCGAUUUUUCCCAACACUGUAGAGAUACUAAGUGGUGGAGGUGAGGUUGAAAUAGGUCUAAACCCAAAGCCAAGGCACUUUCAAAAGAUUAAUAAAGUUUGUCAAAUGAUACUUGGACUAACUCCUGCCUGAAUUAAGCUAGAAAUUAAUAUAAGUUCUUUAAUUCAGUUAGGAAGAUCCCAAAUCAGAAACAAAUCAUAAUAAAAAUUGAGAUCAGGAAGCUUCCUGAGUGUAGCUCCUCAUAUCACUGUCCCACACAUAAGUACUGCCCCAUAUGGCAACCAGGAGGCCCCAGGAAUGCUUGCUAGGGUCAGGCCCUGCUCCUCUAAGUUAGUUGAAAGCUCCCUCCCUACCCAGUGACUGCUCUCAUACUUCUUCAUUGUAGCUGUUGGCUCUCAGAACAUGGUGCCCAAAGUAUAGCGCCUCGGUGUGCUGAGUACUUUGAACUGAAAGACAUUGGAAGGGCCUCCGAAGAAAGAUCUCUUUGACCUUCUCCUGCCCUCUUGUCUUUCAUGCUUCUUUCUCCCCUGGAGUGAACCAUGGAAACUAGAAUUCCUCUUCCGCAAGACAAUCAUAGAAACUAGAAGCCCUCUCCCCAAAGCAAGCCAUAAAACUUAGGAAGGUCACUCUCUCCCUUCUCCCUUCUCAUUUGAAGACCCUUAAUCCAGAGGAAUCCUGCCCCAUACUUGCAAAGAAGAAAUGCUACACAGAGAGUCCAAGAAGAAUUUGAACCCAGUCUAUUACCCUUAGAUCAUACUCUUGUCCAAACACAUCUCUACAGAGCUGCCCAUUCUUCAUGGAACCUAAGCACAAAAACAGUUUUCCCUGGAUCUUUGGGUCUUCAUUUCUGAAGGCUCUCAUAUCACAUAAAACUUUGAUUAAGUAAAUUUGUUAUGCUUUUCUCUUGUUAACUUGUCUUUUGUUAUAGGAGUGUCAGCCAUGACUCUUACAAUGAGUAAGGAGAGGUAUUACCUACCUCCUUUUACCCCUACAUGGCUCUUGGAGCUGAUUAUCACAGUUUGUAAUUUUUCCACCUUCCAUUCCUGCUUCUGUGUAUUUUGAUAAAUUUUUGCAGGUCAGUAGACUUCCCAUGGCAGAAUAUUUCCUGCUUCUCACCAGCCCUUAAGCCAAUCCAAGGAAAACAAAAGAACAUCAUAGUGCUUUGUCAUAUGACAAGAUUACAAAAGCAGCAUCCAGUGGCAGAAUGCCCAACUGCUUCGGGACACAGCCAAUAGCUGACUUCAGUGUUCCCCAUCCCUGCUUGUCAGUGAUUAGUCUAAAUUGUUAUCACAAGCCCAGUCUGACCAAUGAGUGUGAGUGAGGGGCCAUUUUGAUUGUCAGCUCCUGAUUCUGCAGAAAACACGAAACUGAGCUGUACAAAGAUGCUGAUGAGGGGCUGCAGCAUGCAAUUCACUUCACCAGCAGUCACUAAGGUCUGAUCUCUUUUCUAACCACACCUGGAAGAUGGGAUGCUGGACCCAGGAGUCUCACUCUGUAGCCAGGCUGGAGUGCAGUGGCACAAUCUCGGCUCACUGCAACCUUCACCUCCUGGGUUCAAGAAAUUCACCUGCCUCAGCCUCCCGAAUAGUUGGGACUGCAGAGGAAAGGCCAUGUGAAGAUAGAGAAAAGGCUGCCAUCUCCAGGUCAGGAAGAGAGGCCUCACCAGAAACCAACUUGGACUUCUAGCAUCUAGAACUUGAGAAACUGGGAUGCUACUCCAGAAGAAGACAAAUCAGUGCCUCUGUACAAAGGGAUCUUUGUGCUGCCAAAAGAGUAGAAAAGUUUAUCCCAGAACCAAAAUAUUUCAGAAUUGUGGAAAAUCAAGUUUUGGAAACCUACUCAAAAGAAGAAGAAAUAUUGCUAUCACAGAAUCCCUGAAUUAGUAUACACCUAGCUGCUGCAACAAAGACGCUCAAAAACAUAAAUGACACUGUAAAAGAAGUUUAUUUCUUGUUCACAUAACUGUCCAAGGCUGGUGUUCCUGGGCAACUUCCAGUUCUCUUCCAUGCAAUGAUUCAAGGACACAGAGUUCUUCCAUCCUGUGACUCUACCAUCCCCUAGAGCCUGGAAAUUGAGAGUAAAGAGGGUACACCUGAUUCUUAACCAUCUUUACUUGGAAAUGACAUACAUCACAUUCACUCGCAUUCUAUUAGGAAGCACUAGUUCAUGGCCCACCUGGGGAGAAGUGAAGGUUAGUUCAUGUAGCUGCAGAGUAGGAAGCCCCCUUCCUGGUGAUGACUUCAUAUUAUGAAGGGGAAACACUAAUUUGGAAGGAUCAUGAGUUGUUUCCACCACAGUAUCCUACUCUGGCCCUAAAUAACCAUGUAUACACUUCUUCCCAAACAUAGAACAUAAUCGGACCUUUCCCAGGGGAGCCAACCCACAGUCAAGGAAUCAUUGCACUCAGCUCAUGGUCAGGGAUUUCUGAGUAAAGCACUGUCCUGCCUAAAGAUGUUUAUUGUAAGGAUUAAAUCAGCUAAACCAAGAAAAGCCUCAGGGAUGGUGCCUGGCAAACUGCACGCUGUUAAUACAUGUUAGUGGACCGUUCUCCACACCUCCCUGCUACACUAAAGCAGAGAGAAUUACCUCCUGAAUCAUGUUUGCAGAACUUCUGGGCACAGUGACUCAACUCCCAGCUAUUCUUGUCAUGGAUUAUUUCUCUUGGAGCCAAUCCAGCCAUGGAGAUCACUGGUCUUGUGACUUAUUUUUUCUCUUUCAGUAUGAAAUCAUUAGAACUGAGAAAAUGAAAACAUUCCUGUUAUUACUUCCUGAGAGAAAGAAACUUAGUAACAUGCUUUGAUAGGAAUUGUUCUUCUUUCUCCUGCUGUGUCCCUCUUGCUGGUCCCACCAGGGCUCUUGGUCCUGAGCCUGAUUUACACCAGGAGCAUAAUCUGAUCAAAAAGAGGGAAACUAAAGAAAAAAGGCAGGAUUGUAUGAGGGAUUCUCACAAUGGCAGUACAUAAUCCCUUAUACCUCGUAUUAUGUAGCCCCCUGUGUUUCCAAGUUACCUUUGUAAUUUAGGUAAGUGAGCAUGAAACACUUAAAAAAACACAAAUGAAAGCAAGAGAAAGGAAAGAGUGGGGAGGGAUUUGUUUAUUUUUGAAAACAACGACAACAACAUAGAGUAAAAGUUACCAGGUAAGUUCAAAUAUAGUAGUACUUUGUUUUCUUGGAAGAUGAAUGAAAGAAGUCACCUUACUGCCUCCAAUCCAGUCAUAUCCCUGAACCCAAUCAUGACCAGCAGAGGUUGUUCUAAAUUGUUUCCUCCAAUAUAGAGAUAAUUGCCAAUAAUUUUUCAGUGGUUGUUCUCUGUAUUCUCUGUAUUUUUUAGGGAAGCUGAACUCAGAAAACAUACUUUGUCCAUCUAGCCAUCCAUUUAUCUUUAUGGAUCCAUCUUUAUUCAUUCAUUAAUUCACUCAGUCAAUAUAUAUUGAAUUUCAACCAUGUGUCAGACACUGUUCCAUGCCUCUAAUGUUCUGCGUAUAAUGCAAGUAAAACUAAAGAUAGCUAACAUUUAUUGAUCCCUACCGAUGUGCCAGUAACCCUCUUAGGUGUUUUACUUAAAAUAUGUGUUUAACCUCUGAAACAGCUUUAUGAUAUAUAUUGUGAUUAUCUCCUUUUUAAAUACGAGAAAGCAGACUCAAAAGGAUUACAUAACUUGUAUAAGAUUGCACACUUGUAAGUAAAAAUGCAGUAAUGCAGAAAUGCAGUAACGCUAUUUCCUCUCGUAUUGCAGCCACUCCACUCCCAGCGAAACUUCCUGCUGCAUGCAGCCUUUAUUCUUCCAACACUUUCCUCCUCUGUUUCUAAAUGACAUUUUCACCCCCAUUUCCUGGAUACUUCCUUGUUUUAAUACACAGAGGAAGAAAACUCCAAUAAAGUCUGUCUCAACAGAGGUCACCUCCCACCCAUCAGACACGGAAAUUCCUGUUCCUGCUGGGAGUUCUGGUGGCCAUCCUUAUCCCUAGUCUCUUGUCAUUGUUCAAGGAUUAGGGAAAAUACCUCUCAACCUGCUAGAUUUAAGCAGCAAUAAACGGGAUUGUUUAUAGGGUCAGUGGGCCCAGGAUACUAAGGGACAGACAUCAGUCAAAAGCAUUUUCCAAAAAAAUCCUUUAUAUUUUAAUCAAAUCACUAUAAAGACAUGAUGUGUCCUAGUUUCUCAGAUGUUCAACCCAACAGUCUCUUUCUUUAACUUCUGGGCUGCCUUUCAGAACUGAUCAGAGUAGAGAUUUGAAGAUCCCCUGUUGGAGUAUCCAACACAAAAGACUGUCUGGACUCAGGCACCGUACACAUACCCUGUCACUGCUCCUCUCCAUUGAGGUAAUCUGUUUUUUCUCUAAUCAUCUCCAAAUGAUUGAUAAUGUUGAUACCCACAUAUAAGUUUUUCUUUAUCAUUUGGACAUUAAAAGGUGAGUUUCCUGUGUUCUCUAAAAGAGACAAUAGAAAGCAAUCCUUUGCUCUACUUUAGACCUUUAUUAUUACUUAAUUAAAUUAUAUCUCACAGGAAAUGUUAAAUCAUUUCAAAUAACCAAAAAAUCCCCCAGUGAGCUUCUGCGCUUUUGUCCAAGGGUCACUGGCACACAAACUCCAGUAGUUCCUACAGUUUUAUGUGUCUCAUGGAUCCCAGGAAUGUGACUUAUGUCUAUAAUGCUGUUCUAUAGUGGGAGUGGCAAACUUUUUCUGUUAAGAGCUAAAUAGUAAAUAUUUUCUUCGGCUUUGUGGGCAGUAUGGUCUAUGUAUCAACUACUCAACUGUGCUGUAAAAGUAGUGCAAAAGCAGUCAUAGACAAUACAAAUUCCAAUAAAACUUUAUUUACAAAAACAGGUGGCAGACUGGUUUCAGCCCAUGAGCUGUAGUGUGUUAACCUUUGCUCUCUGGCCCUGUGAAUUCUUCAUGUUCACACAGCAUCUUGAAGAAAUGAGGCCCAAUAAAAUAUCUGGUUUUAUUUCAAAUCCGCCUUCUUGCUGUAAAUGACCUACAGCUCAGGAAUAUCUCAAUGAAUACCCACACAUGCUAUCUGUCUUUACAUUGGCUAAAUCCUUUGACUAGAUUAUGAGUACUGUCCUGUCAGUUGUGACUCUUCUUUCCCUAGCAGGCUCCUCACAGCUCCCCAGUUCACAAUAUUUUUCUCAGCACAACACUUUCCAGGGUGUCAAAAUGUUCUUAACCAUCAGCUCUGUUUUCUCAGAGCCUUUGUUGAUGCUUUAAAGAAGCCUAGGUAAAUUGGGUUCCAGUGCUCCUGGUCUCCU